UUGACAAGCCUUGAGAGUGAGGUUCUCUGUUCAUAGCACAGGUUCAGYGUGGGCAGCAGCAGGGGUUGUUUCUCAUGUUGCCCUGCCAGUGUUUCUCAAACCUGACCUCAAGAGGCUGCUCCUGAGACUGAGGAGUUCAGCCAUCAGUCCAGUCUAGUCCUUGCUGUC
ensembl:misc_RNA